rnacentral:rRNA from 1 species
UACGUAGGGCGCAAGCGUUGUCCGGAAUUAUUGGGCGUAAAGAGCUCGUAGGCGGCCUGUUGCGUCCGCUGUGAAAUCCCGGGGCUUAACCCCGGGCUUGCAGUGGAUACGGGCGGGCUGGAGGCAGGCAGGGGAGAACGGAAUUCCUGGUGUAGCGGUGAAAUGCGUAGAGAUCGGAAGGAACACCAGUGGCGAAGGCGGCUACCUGGACAAAUACUGACACUGAGGCGCGAGAGCGUGGGGAGCAAACAGG